AUCGCUUCUUGACCUGGUGGAUAAGAUCAAGUGUACUAUCUGUUCUUAUCAGUUUAACAUCUGAUAUGUCCUCUAUCCAAGGACAAUAUAUUAAAUGGAUUUUUGGAGCAGGAAGUUGGAAUAGGAGCUUGCUCCAUCCACUCCACUUACCUAUCUGGUAUUAAAGUACUCCAGGAAUGGUGCACCCCCU
ensembl:snRNA U2 U2 spliceosomal RNA